GUGCCCAGCCGCCGCGGUAAGACGGAGGGUGCAAGCGUUGUUCGGACUCAUUGGGCGUACAGGGUGCGCAGGCGGCCUGGCAUGUCCGAUGUGAAAGCCCGGGGCUCAACCCCGGAAUCGCAUUGGAAACUGUCAGGCUUGAGUCCGAGAGGGGCCAGUGGAAUUCCUGGUGUAGGGGUGAAAUCCGUAGAGAUCAGGAGGAACACCGGUGGCGAAAGCGACUGGCUGGAUCGGGACUGACGCUGAGGCACGAAAGCGUGGGCAGCGAACAGGAUUAGAUACCCGAGUAGUCC
rnacentral:rRNA from 1 species